AAGCACUCCAUGCUAGUAGAGUUUGUGCAUCAAUAAAGGUUUCCACAGAUAUUUUCUUAAAGAGCACAAGAUAUCCAAACAGGAAGGUUGCCUUAGGCAGAGUACUUAGCCAGGACCCCAAAACCAAAGUUGGAGAUGUUGCUUUAGGCAAAGAAUUUUGGAUGGUGCGUGUUAGUCUGGUAUCUGUGCGCGAUGAACCACUAAUAAGGCCAUAUAACAACUUCAAGGUUCUUGGACAAGUAGGCAAUAAUCCAAUUGCAUGGCCUUCAAGUUGUAUUGAAAAGGUUAACUGAUAACAUGGGAUGAAUAAUAGCGCCGGGAUUGCUAAGACUAGUUGAGUGAUGUGGGGGAGGGUACACCAAUAAAAAAGUGACCCUAGAAACAUGGAUGACGAGUAUGGUGGUGUAAUAGUGAAUUCUAAGAUUGAUUCUUUGCUUGAUCCAAAGGACCAGGUAACCUUGUCAAUCAUACUCUCUAAAUCAUAUUAUCUACAUACUCGAAGGAUUGUAAUCUUUGUCAUUGCCAUCUUCAUUUCCUUGUGCUUGAUCAAGCCAAGAAUUUUCUGUAGUUUAUCAUCCCAUGGUAACAAUGCUUAGUUUUAACACCACAGGUUGUGUGGCCGAAGUUGGAGCUGUGAGGACUCAUAGAGCAGAGAAGAGUUGUUCUCAGUUAUGAACUUGGAACACUAUGAAGAUGCAAGGGCUUACUGCAUAUGGAUAUUUGUUUUAUUUGGAUCUAGAUUACGGAUGACUAUGAGUCAUAUGUAAAUAUGUUUUUAUCGUACCACUCAAACAUAUAUUAUAUAUGAAACUAUGGAUCAACUUCUUGUAAUGCAAUUAUUGAUUUUUUAUAUUAUUUUU